rnacentral:rRNA from 1 species
UACGUAGGGCGCAAGCGUUGUCCGGAAUUAUUGGGCGUAAAGAGCUCGUAGGCGGCUUGUCACGUCGGGUGUGAAAGACCGGGGCUUAACCCCGGUUCUGCAUUCGAUACGGGCUGGCUAGAGUGUGGUAGGGGAGAUCGGAAUUCCUGGUGUAGCGGUGAAAUGCGCAGAUAUCAGGAGGAACACCGGUGGCGAAGGCGGAUCUCUGGGCCAUUACUGACGCUGAGGAGCGAAAGCCAGGGGAGCAAACGGG